rnacentral:lncRNA from 1 species
GGCCUCCCUUCUCCCCUAUUUUCUUUAGAACCAUGGAUUUGAUUCAUGAUGUUCACUGGAAAGACCAUCACCAAGGCUCAUUGGAAACCUUAAGUAAGAUAUUCAACUUCUUUCCCUUCUCUUUUCUUGCAUUAGACCCCAUCCAUCGGCUGUGAUUUGGUCAAAACAAUACCCAGAAGAAUCUCCUAUUUUUAGAUCCAGAACUUUAUCAUUUUCUCCUUUUUCUAGCACCAUAUGUCACCGCCAAUUAUCGAGAAAGAAACUCCGACUGCAUCACCAUGGCCUCGGUCACUAUC